ensembl:lncRNA
GUUUACAGUGUUUGCUUUCUUAGUCUAUAGCCAACCAGCCUAAGAUAAGCAGCAGCUGCCAUGUACUGAUGAUUAGCUAAAGGAAUCAUACAUGUCAUCUAGUUAGCUCAUGUAAUCCUUUUUGACAAACGUGAGUAUUAUUUAGUCCCAUCUUAUGGAUGAAUAAACUGGGAUUCAGAGAGAACAAGAAACUGGUCCUUUAAGGUACAGUGAGUUGGACUUCACAAGACUGUAUUCUCAGGAAGGAAAAAAAAAAGUUGGUUCCAAAUUAGGAAUGUGACCACUUGUGCCAGGGUUCUUAGAAGCACUUCCUCAUCCCUAAGAGUGGUCUUCUUUCUCUGGAUACUGGCGUGUUUGGAUUGUGAUGCCAAGGUUUUUUGCUAUCAUCUGUCUCUUGCCCAAGGAGGAAGCUGUUCUCUGAAGGAUGAGAGAGUAAAGAUUGGAGGAGCCUUGGAUCCUUCAUGACCUUGUUGUGCAACAGCAUCUAUCAACCUUGCCCUCCCUAUGAACUUCCUUGUUAUAUGAUAUAAUAAAUUUCCCAAUUGUUUCAGUAUUAGUCACAGUGUGAAUGGGUUUUAUUAUUAGCAGCUAAAACAUUCUGUUCACCAAGUGCCACUUGGUAACACUGAUUUUCCACAAAUGCUGGUAAAAUGCUCACUUCAACUCAUCCCACAUUCUCCAGCAUAGUUAGAGAAUGCUCUGGAGAAUAUACAUGGGUCCAGAUUUUUUAGAAACUCUCCAGGUACGCAGACCUCAGUCU